UACAGAGGGUGCAAGCGUUGUUCGGAAUUAUUGGGCGUAAAGCGCGUGUAGGCGGCUUUGCAAGUCGGGUGUGAAAGCCCUCAGCUCAACUGAGGAAGUGCGCCCGAAACUGCAGAGCUUGAGUGCCGGAGAGGGUGGCGGAAUUCCCCAAGUAGAGGUGAAAUUCGUAGAUAUUGGGAAGAACACCGGUGGCGAAGGCG
rnacentral:rRNA from 1 species